GUAAAGUGGUCUCUAGAUUAUGUGUAUUCAUUUGGUGAUCGAGGACAUCAUUGGUAUUGAUUAAAAGUAAUUGUUUUUAAUUCUGGGUGAAGCAGAAGAAGCUUAUGGUUUUACAAGAAUGUUUAUUUUAAUUUUUUCUGUGGACAACUUUUCUACCUGAAAUUUUGCUCUAACUUUUAAUGAUAGCAAUGUUUUUGAAAGAUAAUUUCACUGGGGAGGUACUUUGGAAAGGAUGUUUUUCCAUUUUUCCCAGAGUUUUCCCACCAAAUGUGAAAAACAGAAAAACUGGGAAAAUCGGUACAACACUAAACAUAUAUUAUUAAAAAAUAUAUAUAAAGCUUGUUUAAUUAUUUUUGACCAUAAAAUUACAUAUAUUUAUAUAUUGUUGACAUCACUAUCGAUUAAACUCCACUCAGAAUCAUUUUUUCAUUAUCAAUGAUUUAUUGUUGCUUACAGGUAUACAUUAAAUUAUCUAUAACAGUGGCUUCACCCAUCCCCAUUAUCCAAGGACAU